GAACUGCGAUAAGUAAUGUGAAUUGCAGAAUUCAGUGAAUCAUCGAGUCUUUGAACGCACAUUGCGCCCCCCGGCAUUCCGGGGGGCAUGCCUGUCCGAGCGUCAUUGCUGCCCUUCAAGCCCGGCUUGUGUGUUGGGUCGUCGUCCCCUCCGGGGGACGGGCCCGAAAGGCAGCGGCGGCACCGCGUCCGGUCCUCGAGCGUAUGGGGCUUUGUCACCCGCUCGAUAAGGACCGGCCGGGCGCCAGCCGGCGUCUCCAACCUUUUUUUCUCAGGUUGACCUCGGAUCAGGUAGGGAUACCCGCUGAACUUAAGC
rnacentral:misc_RNA from 1 species